rnacentral:SRP_RNA from 1 species
GCUAGGCAUGGUGGUGUGUGCCUGUAGUCCCAGCUACUUGGGAGGCUGAGGCAGGAGAAUCGCUUGAGCCCAGGAGGUGGAGGUUGCAGUUGAGCUGAGGUCGUGCCAUUGCACCUCAGCCUGGGCAACAGAGUGAAACUCUGUCUCAA